rnacentral:rRNA from 1 species
AUUGAACGCUGGCGGCAGGCCUAACACAUGCAAGUCGAGCGAGCGGCGGACGGGUGAGUAAUGUAUGGGGACUGCCCGAUAGAGGGGGAUAAAUACUGGAAACGGUGGAUAAUACCGCAUACUAUCGGAUAACCCAUAUGGGAUUAGCGAGUAGGUGGGGUAAAGGCUCACCUAGGUGACGAGGCCUAGCUGGCCGGAGAGGAUGAUCGGCCACACUGGGACUGAGAGACGGCCCAGACUCCUACGGAGGCAGCAGUGGGGAAUAUUGCACAAUGGGCGCAAGUCUGAUGCAGCAAUGCCGCGUGUAUGAAGAAGGCCUUAGGGUUGUAAAGUACUUUCAGCGGUGAGGCGUUACCCGCAGAAGAAGCACCGGCUAACUCCGUGCCAGCAGCCGCGGUAAUUC